CAACCACGCUCGAGACCAUGCAUCACUAUCAGUUAUCGGUUAACCGUCAAACAGGCUGUGCUAUCGUGUACGAUAUAACUACAACCGUGAUUCCGCUUUAUUUGAUACGGUGAUAUACGGUGUUCUGAAGAUAGUAUCCAAUAAGUUAUUACAAGUGCCUGACCGGUAAUGCAGCUUUGAGGCUGACACUUAGAAUUCGCGCGUUUAAUGCAUGCUGUAAAUUCGAUCGUUGAGGAAGUCGCCAGCGUUAAAACCGAGAUAUCUUUUGUCUCUAUUGUUAUUUCUGGCCUGGUAAAUUCAACGAUGCGGGACUAAGUAAUUUGAGGUGGAGAUGAGAGAUCGACCUAUUUGUUCCUGAGCUAAAAUUGAUUGUCGCAUAAUUAUCUGGAGUGGCUUCUCUAGCACAAUGGCGCCAUGAGCCUACCCAAGCCAAAUGGGUUUUGGCUUCAAUUGCAUGUGCAUGCUAGAGAAGAUGGCGGACAUCGCGGGAUACACUAUUUUUUAAGACACAAACACUUACACACACACACACACACAUUAAUAGUUUUAAGUUGAAUUUUUUUUAAUAAUCAAUUAGUUUAUAAGUAGUUAGGGUAAGUUAUAAAUAAAGC